rnacentral:lncRNA from 1 species
UAAUUAAAAAAAAAAUUCGGUUCAAAGACAAAAACAUAUGGAUCAAUUGGUCUGGUUCGAUUGGUCUGGUUCCAAUGAUUCAAGCAAAGAAAAGGGAACCGAUUAGGUUCAAGCAAAAAAAAGAAAAAAAAUUUCAGUUGGUUUGGGCAUGUUGACCCGGUUUACUAUAUAUAUAUAUAUAUAUAUAUAGAGUUGAGUAAGAAUAUUCUCAAAAGUAUCAAGAGGUUGGUGCUUUUGAGGUUUUAACCCUUGGAUGGAUAAAUAUAAGGUUGGGAUGAUGGUGGUAGGUGGUGGUAGGUGGAAUAGUGUUUGAUCCAAUAGUUAUUAGUAAUCAAGGAGUAGAUCCAAGGACUAGAAAUCUAAAAGCACCAAAGGGGUGAUACUUCUAAAAGUAUUAUAGCUCAAUUAUAUAUAUAUAUAUAUAUAUAUAUAUUGGUUUUAGCUAGGAACCCUAGCCUGUACCCAAUCAGCUAACAACCCCUCUCUUAUCAGGGAGUGCCACAUGCAUCUCUUGUAGAANAUAUAUAUAUAUAUAUAUAUAUAUAUAUGGAGAACUUGAACCGGUUUGGAUUGAUACCUACAUUAAAAACAAUCCGAUUCGGUUUAAAUAAAAAAAAGGGAAACAUAUGAAGUACUUGAGCCGGUUUGGGUUUGUGCACACACCCAAUAAAUUUGGUUCGGUUCAACCAAAGAAAUGUCAUUCCGGUUCUGUUCAACUCAAGAAAUGUCACGCCGCCACGUGGCAAGAUUAAGAGAAAUAAAAAUAAGGUAAUAUAUAUAUAUAUAUAUAUAUAUAUAUGGAGAAUUUGAACCGGUUUGGAUUGGCAUCUACAGUAAAAAUAAUCCGAUUCGGUUUAAAUAAAAAAAGAAGGAAAUACAUGAAGUGCUUGAGCCGGUUUGGGU